GAAACCUUAGCCCCUGUAUGGUGUAAGUUAAAAGUCGAUAAAAAUCCACUGUCAAAGUGAAUAAUUAAUUUUAACCACACAUUUCAUAGACCUACAAUUUUUUAACCACAUAUUUUAUCAACUUUCAUAAAAACAUUACUAAAAAUUUGAUUUUAAUCUACACCAAACAUUGGCUUAUUGUCACACGUCCACCAUUGCCAGUGCUGGCAGACAUCUGAUAUCUCUUGCCAACAAUUUUCCCCAGUAAGUAGGGGUGCCCACGUAAAUUUUGUAUUACAAUAUAAUUUAACAUCUUCCUCAGCACGAAGCAAAUUUUAAUUAUUUGAUCCAUCAUUAGAUAAGAAAGUAAAUUGAUAUGCUUGUAUCAUAUGGAUGGACCGUUGACGACUUGGUUGUGAUUUUUUCCUUUCAUGUCAUCAAACAACGGAGUAUAGCGCAUGUUUGGCUAGGCUUAAAAAAUCUAAAGCGUAGGUAAGUAAGUUUGAAUAAAUAAUUAAUUUGUUGGCCAAAGUUGAAAAGAAUAAGCUCCUGUUUGGUAAGAAUUAAAAUCAAAAUUUUAGUAUAUUCUGAUAAAAUAUCUGGUUGAAAAGUUGUGGGAACUAUUAAAUAUGUUGUUAAAAUUGAUUAUUAACUUUGACUUAAAUUAAAAUAUGGAUUUAAAUCA
rnacentral:lncRNA from 1 species